rnacentral:rRNA from 1 species
AGUCGAACGAGAGAGAAGGAGCUUGCUUCUUCGAUCGAGUGGCGAACGGGUGAGUAACGCGUGAGGAACCUGCCUCAAAGAGGGGGACAACAGUUGGAAACGACUGCUAAUACCGCAUAAGCCCACGGGUCGGCAUCGACCUGAGGGAAAAGGAGCAAUCCGCUUUGAGAUGGCCUCGCGUCCGAUUAGCUAGUUGGUGAGGUAACGGCCCACCAAGGCGACGAUCGGUAGCCGGACUGAGAGGUUGAACGGCCACAUUGGGACUGAGACACGGCCCAGACUCCUACGGGAGGCAGCAGUGGGGAAUAUUGCACAAUGGGGGAAACCCUGAUGCAGCGACGCCGCGUGGAGGAAGAAGGUCUUCGGAUUGUAAACUCCUGUUGUUGAGGAAGAUAAUGACGGUACUCAACAAGGAAGUGACGGCUAACUACGUGCCAGCAGCCGCGGUAAAACGUAGGUCACAAGCGUUGUCCGGAAUUACUGGGUGUAAAGGGAGCGCAGGCGGGAGGACAAGUUGGAAGUGAAAUCUAUGGGCUCAACCCAUAAACUGCUUUCAAAACUGUUUUUCUUGAGUAGUGCAGAGGUAGGCGGAAUUCCCGGUGUAGCGGUGGAAUGCGUAGAUAUCGGGAGGAACACCAGUGGCGAAGGCGGCCUACUGGGCACCAACUGACGCUGAGGCUCGAAAGUGUGGGUAGCAAACAGGAUUAGAUACCCUGGUAGUCCACACCGUAAACGAUGAUUACUAGGUGUUGGAGGAUUGACCCCUU